rnacentral:lncRNA from 1 species
UGCCGUAUGUGGAAUAUCUAGAUAUCCCCUAAUGCUUGUGAUGCAGACCAAGCUCUUGAUGACUGAAUUAGUAUAUAAGGCAAAUACUAAUGCUCCUGAAGAGGGACUACAGCAUCUCAAUUUAUGAAAGGUAUGAGGUCAAAUCAGGAAUUAAUCCUCAAUAAUAAAUUUAAGAAAAUUUUUGUUUAAUUAUUAGAAAAAAAUUUAAAAUUUAAGAAGAGGAAAGAUGGGUGGGAUUGGUGGACCUCUAAGCUUGAAGCGGCUGGAUGAUACAGAUGAAAUAUGCUUUACAUAUUUUCUUCCUAUUGCUUCUCACACACAGUGUGCUAUAUCAAGACACUAUGCUUUUCUGUGUUAGCUGUGCUUUGCAGUUGCCAAAAUGAAAAUCACUAGCAUGGGGCAG